rnacentral:rRNA from 1 species
GUGAGGAAUAUUGGUCAAUGGACGAGAGUCUGAACCAGCCAAGUAGCGUGAAGGAUGACUGCCCUAUGGGUUGUAAACUUCUUUUAUAUGGGAAUAAAGUGAGCCACGUGUGGCUUUUUGUAUGUACCAUACGAAUAAGGAUCGGCUAACUCCGUGCCAGCAGCCGCGGUAAUACGGAGGAUCCGAGCGUUAUCCGGAUUUAUUGGGUUUAAAGGGAGCGUAGGCGGAUUAUUAAGUCAGUUGUGAAAGUUUGCGGCUCAACCGUAAAAUUGCAGUUGAUACUGGUAGUCUUGAGUGCAGCAGAGGUAGGCGGAAUUCGUGGUGUAGCGGUGAAAUGCUUAGAUAUCACGAAGAACUCCGAUUGCGAAGGCAGCUUACUGGACUGUAACUGACGCUGAUGCUCGAAAGUGUGGGUAUCAAACAGG